rnacentral:rRNA from 1 species
UACGAAGGGGGCUAGCGUUGCUCGGAAUCACUGGGCGUAAAGCGCACGUAGGCGGAUUGCUAAGUCAGGGGUGAAAUCCCGGGGCUCAACCUCGGAACUGCCUUUGAUACUGACAAUCUCGAGUCCGGAAGAGGUGGGUGGAAUUCCUAGUGUAGAGGUGAAAUUCGUAGAUAUUAGGAAGAACACCAGUGGCGAAGGCGGCCCACUGGUCCGGUACUGACGCUGAGGUGCGAAAGCUAGGGGAGCAAACGGG